rnacentral:rRNA from 1 species
GACAGAGGUGCCGAGCGUUAGGCGGAAUCACUGGGCUUAAAGCGUGCGUAGGCGGGCGGGCAAGUACCUUGUGAAAUCCCACGGCUCAACCGUGGAACGGCUGGGUAUACUGCCUGUCUUGAGCCAACUAGGGGCGAGCGGAACAGACGGUGGAGCGGUGAAAUGCGUAGAUAUCAUUUGGAACGCCAAUGGUGAAAACAGGUAGCUGGGGCUGUGCUGACGCUGAGACACGAAAGCCAGGGGAGCAAACGGG